CACUCUAGCGAGACUGCCGGUAAUAAACCGGAGGAAGGUGGGGAUGACGUCAAAUCAUCAUGCCCCUUAUGACCUGGGCUACACACGUGCUACAAUGGUUGGUACAACGAGUUGCGAGUCGGUGACGGCGAGCUAAUCUCUUAAAGCCAAUCUCAGUUCGGAUUGUAGGCUGCCAACUCGCCUACAUGAAGUCGGAAUCGCUAGUAAUCGCGGGUCAGCACGCCGCGGUCGAAUACGUUCCCGGGCCUU
rnacentral:rRNA from 1 species